rnacentral:lncRNA from 1 species
GAGGUGUGGGCAGGAGGGAGACGCGCCAGGCAGCAGCCAACGGGGUGGAGUCCCCGGGCCCAGCCUCCUGCGGGAGGGGGCUCUGCUGCCUCCAGGCCCGGGUCGCUCCUGCCUGGCCCCGGGGACCCCGUUCUUCCUCCGACUCCGACGACGGGCUCCUCCUGCCCGGACAUGCCCCGCCACAAGUGACCCGGGCCAGGCACCCCCGCCGCGUCCCCCUCUCUCUCUGCCCCCUCCCGGUGCCAGGCGCGCUUUUCCCCAGGCAGGACCGCGGUGGGGACUCACCUGCAGCAGGACCCCGACGACGACAAACUUGAAGGUCUUGUGGACCCGGAGCCGAGGGCUGGCUUCCCGCGCCGGCCUGGGUCCUGGGGCGCGCCCUGCCCGGGCCCGGGCACUGGGUCCGUGCUGUCCCAUGGAGGUCUCCAUGCCAGUGAAAUGUCACCUCAACUCCACCGUCCCUGGUGUCAGGCAAGCCCGAGGGACCCAAUUCUGCCUUUCUUCUGGAUUUUCCUAACCUGUUAAGAGUCUUGAAAGUCCUUAAACCACGGGAGACUAUCUGGCACAUGACACGGGAUGAGACUUGGUGGGGGUCCCACGGGGGACAGGUCCUUCCAGCGGUUCCUCUGCACCCAGCGCUGCACGGGCAUGGGGCGUGGGUAAUCAGCCUCCCGAAAGCCACGCGAGUCACGGUCCUGCCUGCGAAGAACUCCCAGGGCGACCUUGGGGCUGAGGAGUGGGUAAGAGAAAGGGGGCGCUGAUUGAUGUUCAUUUUUCUCCAUAUUUUAAUGGUGUUCCGGUACCAUUUGUUGAAAAGACUCUUUUCGACCGGGCGCGGUGGCUCACGCCUGUAAUCCCAGCACUUUGGGAGGCCGAGGCGGGCGGAUCACCUGAGGUCAGGAGUUCGAGACCAGCCUGACCGACAUGGAGAAACGCAGCCUCUACUAAAAAUACAAAAUUAGCGGGGCGUGGUGGCGGAUGCCUGUAAUCCCAGCCACUCGGGAGACUGAGGCAGGAGAAUCGCUUGAACCCGGGAGGCAGAGGCUGCGGGGAGCCGAGAUGGAGCCAUUGCGCUCCAGCCUGGGCCACAAGAGGGAAACUCCGUCUCAAAAAAAAAAAAAAAAAAGACUUUUUUUCCUUAUCCAAUAGCCUUAUCACUUUUGUUGAAAUUAAAUUGACCAUAUAUAUGUAUGUGUCCAUUUCCGGACUCUAUUCUGUUCCGUUUAUUUAUUUGGCUAUUCUCAUGCUAAUUACCACAUUGUCCUAAUUAUGAGCUGUAUAGUCAGUCUUGAAAUCAGGCAGUUCAAGUCCUCCCCCUACUACCCACCUCCCAAAUGGUUUGCAUUUCCGUAUAUAUUAAAUAUAGAAUAAUUUUUUUCAGUUAAAAAAGCCUACUGGAAUUUUAAUUGGGAUUGCAUUGAAUGUAGAGAUGAAUGAGAAUAAUUGACAUUUUAACAAUUUUGAGUCUUUCAAUCCAUGAAAUUUAUUUAUUUAGAUAUUUGUUACUUAAGCUUGACAAUAUUUUGCAAACUUUCCAUGUACAAAUCUUUCAUAUCUUUUGUAAACAUAUUUCUAACUAUUUUUGUUACUAUUGCUAAUGGAAUUGAUUUAGCUUCCCUUAUUUUCAAAUUGUUUGUUGCAACUAUACAGAAAUACAGUUGAUUUUUGUCCAUCGGCCUUGUAUGCUAUGGUACUGCUAAAUUGAUAUAUUUCUAGUUGUUAUUUUAUAGAUUAUUUAGGAUUUUCUAUGUAAGCAAUCCUAUUGUCAGUAACCAAAAACUGUCUCAGUUCUUCCUUUCCAAUCUUUAUACCUUCUAUUCAUCUUUGUUGCUGAAUUGCCCUGGAUAGGAUUUCCAGUACAAUGUUAAAUAGAAAUAGUUAAAGCAGACAUGCUUAUCUUAUUCCAUAUCUUAGAACACAUCUAAUUAAUCACCAUUAGAUAUGAUGUUAGUUAUAGUUUCCUCAUAGAUGCCUGCUGUAGUUUGAAUGUCCUCUCCAAAACUCAUGUUGAAUUUUUUUUUUUUUUUUUUUUUUUUUGAGACAGAGUCUCACUCUUUCGCCCAGGCUGGAGUGCAGUGGCCUGAUCUCGGCUCAUUGCAACCUCCACCUCCUGGGUUCAAGCAAUUCUUCUGCCCCAGCCUCCCCAGUAGCUGGGACUACAGGCACAUGCUGCCGUGCCUGGCUAAUUUUUGUAUUUUCAGUAGAAACGGGGUUUCACCGUGUUGCCCAGGCUGGUCACAAACUCCUGAGCUCAGGCAACCUGCCUGCCUUGGCGUCCCAAGGUGCUGGGAUUAUAGGCUUGAGACACCAUGCCCGCCAAUUUUUUUUUUUUAGAUGAGUCUCGCUGUGUUGCCCAAGCUAGACUGCAGUGGUGCGAUCUCGGCUCACUGCAACCUCUGUCUCUGGGUUCAAGCGAUUUUCCUGCCUCAGCCUCCCCAGUAGCUGUCAGUACAGGCACGCACCACCACCACACCCAGCUAAUUUUUGUAUUUGUAGUAGAGACGGGAUUUCACCAUGUUGACCAGGGAGGUGGGGCCUUUAAGAGGUGAUUUAGCUUAUGAGGGCUCCAUCUUCAUGAAUGGAUUAACGCUAUUGUCUCAGGACUGGGUUAAUUUUCAUGUGAGUGGGUUCCUGAUAAAAAAUAAUGAGUUUGGCAUGAUUUCCUCCCUCUCUCUCACCUAGGCCUGCUUCGGCCUUCUGCUCUUCUGUUGUGUGGUGACCCUCACCAGAGGACAGCUUCAUGCUCUUGGACUUCCCAGCCUCAAGAACUGUAAGAAAUAAAUUUCUUUAUAAGUUGCCCAGUCUGUGGUAUUUGGUUAUAGCAGCAGGAAAUGGAGUGAGACAAUGCCCUUUACCAGAUCAAAUUCCCUUUCAUUUCUACUUUGCUGUUUUUACCAUUAAUAGAAUGUGAAAUAUAACAAUAAACAAUAACGUUUGACACUUU